AGGGGAGACCAGAUCUUUGGCUGUGUCCCCGGCACCGCAUGCUCCUGGGCCUGCGCUGUUGGAUUCGCGCUCCCGCCCCGCAGCCCCCU
rnacentral:pre_miRNA from 1 species